AGCGAACGCUGGCGGCAGGCCUAAUACAUGCAAGUCGAACGGACCCUUCGGGGUUAGUGGCGGACGGGUGAGUAACACGUGGGAACGUGCCCUUUGGUUCGGAACAACUCAGGGAAACUUGAGCUAAUACCGGAUAAGCCCUUCGGGGAAGGAUUAUCGCCAUUGGAGCGGCCCGCGUCUGAUUAGCUAGUUGGUGGGGUAAAAGACCUACCAAGGCGACGAUCAGUAGCUGGUCUGAGAGGAUGAUCAGCCACACUGGGACUGAGACACGGCCCAGACUCCUACGGGAGGCAGCAGUAGGGAAUCUUGCGCAAUGGGCGAAAGCCUGACGCAGCCAUGCCGCGUGAAUGAUG
rnacentral:rRNA from 1 species